rnacentral:rRNA from 1 species
GACGAACGCUGGCGGCGUGCUUAACACAUGCAAGUCGAACGCUGAAGGCCUGGCUUUUGUUGGGUUGGAUGAGUGGCGAACGGGUGAGUAACACGUGAGUAACCUGCCCUCUUCUUUGGGAUAACGCCCGGAAACGGGUGCUAAUACUGGAUAUUCACUGAUCUUCGCAUGGGGGUUGGUGGAAAGGUUUGUUCUGGUGGGGGAUGGGCUCGCGGCCUAUCAGCUUGUUGGUGGGGUGAUGGCCUACCAAGGCUUUGACGGGUAGCCGGCCUGAGAGGGUGACCGGUCACAUUGGGACUGAGAUACGGCCCAGACUCCUACGGGAGGCAGCAGUGGGGAAUAUUGCACAAUGGGCGAAAGCCUGAUGCAGCGACGCCGCGUGAGGGAUGGAGGCCUUCGGGUUGGAAACCUCUUUCGCUCAUGGUCAAGCCGCAACUGUGGGUUGUGGUGAGGGUAGUGGGUAAAGAAGCGCCGGCUAACUACGUG